rnacentral:tRNA from 1 species
GGGCUGGUAGUUAAACCUGGUAUAACGUCCCCCUUGCACGGGGAAGGCUUCGGGUUCAAAUCCCGACCAGUCCA